GAAAGUGUCACCUAACAUUCAAAAGUGUAUAAUUCAUCCAAAAAAUGACAGAAGGAACAAUCAUGGAGGAAGUAUACCUACAUUGUUAGAGAAAUGACAAUAUUAGAAUUAUGAUGAAUUUUCAUGCCAAUGUCCUAUCAAGUUUGCUAAAACUAAAAUAGUAUGCUUCCUGCAGACUCAGAAGCACAAAUUACUAACUUCAGUUGUAGUCAAUACAAGCCCUAUAGGUAUAAUGAUGCCUACACAAUCAGAGGAGAUACUCCCUCAAAACCCUCACCCUAGCAGAGGAAAAAAUGGAUGUUAGGCAUCAAUCACAGGAACACUACAAGCUACAAGACAAAUGCUAAAUAUACAUACAUCAAAAUCAAAAUGCAGGACAUCAAUGGAUAAUACCACCAAAUAGCCAUUUUCAUAUAAAGUGAUUGCUCUAAAAGCUUAAAUCACCCUGUAUUAUUGGUUACUCGGGAAUUUUACCCCUAAACAUAAAUGACGGGAAUUCUCUAUCCAUACUAAAAGAGUUGUUGGGGACAAAAAUCAGCGGCUCUGAUCUUAUUUGAUUAAUGUCAAGCAAUAAAAGUUGGGAUAGGAUUUUGGAUUUAGGUACUUGCAUGAUUUUAAAAUCAUAUAGCAUCAAAUGCAUAAACCAGGAACAUGUUACAUUUUAAAAUCUAUCCAUAGAUAUUCUGGAUGGCAGUUGUUGGCUAUUUAAAAAUUAACUACUUUUGACCUUUCAACAACUCAAAACAAAGCUAAAUCUUUAGAAACUAGUUAAAUCCCUAAAAAAAAGAUCCAGGAUAGCAUCUAUAGACUCUAUUCCAACACAGAGGAAAUUAAUUCCAAAUAAACUCAAAAAAAUUGACAAGUAUAUCAAAAUAUUGAACUUGAGAAAGAAGACUGACAAAUUUCGUU
rnacentral:misc_RNA from 1 species